GGUGAGGCUCUGGGCGUUUCCGCUGCCAAUCAGGCUGCUUCACCGGCGCGCUGGGCCCGCCGGGAGAACGCCGUGGGCACCACGGCUCUGCUGACUUUCCCGGUAGCGGGGUCUCUUCUGACGACGGCCUGCGAAGCGGGGGGAAUGAAGGAUGGCAGCACGCCGUGCAUUAAAAGCUGUUUUGGUAGAUCUCAAUGGCACACUUCACAUUGAAGAUGCAGCUGUGCCAGGCGCGCAGGAAGCUCUUAAAAGGUUACGUGGUACUUCUGUAAAGGUUAGGUUUGUGACCAAUACAACCAAAGAAAGCAAGCGAGACCUAUUGGAAAGGUUGAAGAAAUUAGAGUUUGAUAUCUCUGAAGAUGAAAUCUUCACUUCUCUGACUGCAGCCAGAAAUUUAGUAGAGCAGAAAGAAGUCCGACCCAUGCUGCUAGUUGAUGAUCGGGCUCUACCUGAUUUCAGAGGAAUACAAACAAGUGAUCCUAAUGCUGUGGUUAUAGGAUUGGCACCAGAACAUUUUCAUUAUCAAAUUCUCAAUCAAGCAUUCCGGUUACUCCUGGAUGGGGCCCCUCUGAUAGCAAUCCACAAAGCCAGGUAUUACAAGAGGAAAGAUGGCUUGGCCCUGGGGCCUGGACCAUUUGUGACUGCUUUAGAGUAUGCCACGGACACCAAAGCCACUGUAGUGGGAAAACCAGAGAAAACAUUCUUUUUGGAAGCAUUGCGGGGCACUGGCUGUGAACCCGAGGAGGCCGUCAUGAUAGGAGAUGACUGCAGGGAUGAUGUUGGUGGGGCUCAGAAUGUCGGCAUGCUGGGCAUCUUAGUAAAAACUGUGCUGUGGGGGAAGAAAGUGACACCACUGGCUGUGGGGAUUUGAAGGACCUUGGCUGUCAGGUGACCCAGUCCCUGUGAGUAUCCUUUGUGGAAGACCAGAGGGCCUGGGAAAAUGCUGAAUGUGGUAUUUCUUUGAAUUGUCUCACUAUAACAUCCUGAAGCCACAAUAAAAGGGAAAUAUCGAGCAGCAGAUGAAGAAAAAAUUAAUCCAUCUCCUUACUUAACUUGUGAGAGCUUCCCUCAUGCUGUGGACCACAUUCUGCAGCAUCUACUGUGAGCCAUUAUGUGAAUCAGAAGCAACUUGAAUUGCAGCUUAUCAUCAUCUGGAAUGACUCCCUCACCAACUCAGUGCCAGCAUAGAUAGACCCAUUCCACUCAGCUUCGACCAUGGUUUAACCCUCCUUUAUUGUGCAUUAAUUAGAGAGAAAGGUACUGUAGUUCCACCAGCCAUGAAACCUUGCUUAUUCCUUUUGUUUUAUUUUGUAAGAGAAGAUGAGACCCAAGAACGGGAGAGCUGAGAUUAUAUGCCAUCCCUUUUAAAAUAUUCAUCAAGCUAGUCAGGGCUGGGAGGGGAAUCUGCUGUGGGAGAGGUGUUUUCUGCUAUCUCCUCACUGGGAAGUGGAGGAGGGGUUCAGGUUGUGAAUAAUGUUGAAUGGUGUUUUUAAAUGACCAAGUAAUUUGUUAAAAGUUGCAUUAAGCUGUAGUUUUCAUGUUGAGUUCAACUGUGAAAUCCCUCAGACGUGCCAAGUGGCGUAUGAGUCUGAAGCAGCAGAAUAAAUUGUCCUUUAGCCCAAGUGAUGGAGGGAAUUUGCUUUAACAGAAGUUGAAAACUAGAUUAUCUACUGUAUUAUUCCCAGCACGGGUGACUUCUUUUUCUCUUCAUUAACCAGAAAUGACUAAUUUAAAUUUAGAACCUGAUUUUAAUUUAAAAUAAUAUUUCCAUUAAUAACCUAUUCAUUGCAGAUACCUAUUAUACUGUGUAACAGUUGUUUUGGAAAUUUUAUGUAAAAUUAAAACUAUCAGUAUUUUA